GGUUUGGAUGAAUUGAGCUGAGUCCCUGUGGAGGGUUUAAACAACCUCAGUGAAGGGGGAGCUUUCUGGGCUUGGGGCUGUAAUUCAGUCAUGUUUAAGGAGAUGGUCUGUCCCUCCCUCCGUUAAACACAGGAAGCAGUUCCAGAGAAAAUCGUUCCAACAUUUUCUUACCAAAUGUCAAUUUCUCAGAAUCCAGUAACAUUAUCACAUUGGAGUUCCUCAAGUGGUGUUGGAAGCAGAGGUCAAACUCUCACACAUUUGCUGUCAAGCAUCAGCACUGAAGCAAAUAUUCCAGCAAGUGUCCAAACAAUCCAGCUCUACAAGUCUUUUUAUCCAUGUAUUCCGUAAAUGUAUCCUUGUGUUCACAACAACAGAACGUCUCCAAGACCUGCAAACUCAGGAAGUGAAGUGGAGCUCAUUGCGUGAGUCAGUAUCCGAUGCUGCCAGACCUGCUGAGCUUUUCAAGCGACUUCUGUUUUUGUUUCUGAUUUACAACAUCCGCAGUUCUCUUGUUUUUUACUUUACCCCCUUUCACAGGUUCAGGAACCCAGGCACAAAGACAAUGCUGAUACCUGCAGCUCCAACUAGUUACCACUCUAAUUCAAAUCAAACCUUCAGGCUGUCAGUACACAGAGGGAAAAAUAUUCUCAGAAGAUCCAAUGACUAAAUCAUGGAAGAGUAGGGAAGUUAUCUGUGAUGUCUUGAUCAAUACAGAUCCCACAAUUCAUGUGAGAAAACUGAUUAUCUAAUCUUUUGUCUUUUGGAAAUUUGCUGUGCCACCAUGUUUACUGGAUGCCAUUGAUGGUACAUUCCAAUUGUAAGUACACUUGUAAAAGCAUUUCAUUAGCUCUGUUGUAGUUUUUAUGAACUGAGUUUGUGAAAGUUGAUAUAUAGAUGCAAAUUUUGUGUCCUGUGAACUGAAAGUUAAACCCAUAUAUGGUGAAGAUAUCUCAGCCCACAGUGACAUGAAUCAGUUUUUGUGUGCUAGACUCUUACUGUGUUUCAGUGAAAACGAACACACCAUGUUGACAAACCAGGUAGAUUAGUGCAGAUAAAAAAGUGAAUUUAUUGUCAGUUAUGAAUCUGUACAGAAGAUUGACAAAAUAAAAAGUAUUUGAAAAUUAUUCCAAGAUCUUUCUCAGAACAGAAGAGUCUAAGAUGAACUUAUCC